rnacentral:lncRNA from 9 species
GGGUCUGAGUUGCCGGCUCUCGGCAGAAAUUCCUCCCAAGGGGUCCCUGGGGAGAGCUGAAAGCCUUGAUGGCUUUGCAUUAGAUGUCUAAUGGCAUAAAGAUGUAAUUCUGGGCAUUCUUGAUAUUGGGCUAUGGAAAUGGAAUGCAGCCUGUGUUUUGAUGAGUGUUUUGAUGCAAACCUCUGCUACCCCAGGGUGCUGCUGCAGUCAUGUCGAGGAAAAAUCAUGGGAGCACAGUCUAAACAAGAAGUGGAGACAAAUGAGAAGUUGGGACAGACUCCAGAGACAGUUGGGAGGUAAAAUAAAUGAAGAGUGCUGUUCAAUUAAAUAAAGGUAGAGUGAUGGAGGGCGGGGAGAGAUGCUGACAUUAGGCCUGAAGCUCAGGUUUCUGACUUGCAUGCGUACUUGAAUGGAUGGUGACACCGUCUAUCGAGAAAGAGAAUUAGAGUGACAAAAAAAAUAUCAAACACUUGGUUUUCUGUAUGUUGAGUCUGAAUGCCUUUAAGAUCUGCAAGUGCAGAUGUGGAUGUAGACAGUCAGGGAGCUCAAAGAAAAAGUAUGGUCACUGGGGGUGUAAAUUGGGGAACACUGUUACAGCCUACAAACACUCUGCUGUCAAGGACCACUUUGCAUUGUUUAUACUUGCCAUAGAAUCUAAUACACAAAUCUAAGCUACUGUGACCAUUGAAAGUAAUACGUAUGUAUGAAGGCAAGCUGCACAGAUUAUUUUAAAGAAGCCAAAUAAAUGUUCAUUUGGAAAGUUUUUCACUUAAGAUAGUAAAUAAAAACAGUGAAUGACAGUAAAAUCAUAUAUUUUAAGUUCAAUGUAAAUACUCACAAAUUUUUCUGCCAGAAUUUCAAAUUCAUUAACAAUUACCCCACUAAAAACUUCCCAAAUGACCACUUCCCUUGGGUAAGUUUAUUGGGCUUCCAAAACUAGGUUGGUAAUGGGACCCAUAUAUCCUAAAUAAAUAUUUUUACUGUAAUAAUAUCACAACUGUUUUCUGGGUUGCAGAGUGAUAUAAAGAAAGAAGGAUAUUUUCCCUACUUCCAAGGCAGGGCAUAAAGUAUCAGUUACCCACCUUGCAAUUCUGGCUCAUCUCUCAUUUAAUUCAAAAUAGGAUGGCUUGAUGUGAAUUGACCAGAGUGGAGUGCCUAAAUUUAUUGUGUUUCAGUUUAAAUUGUUUUAAGCAAGACAUAAGGUAAGUGUGAACGUGUGCCAGAAGAAGUACACACGAAGUGUCAGAAGUGUGAGGCUGUCUGUUUUAUAGAAGUGAACCAUACUAGUUUCCUAGGGUUAUCAUCACAAAGUACCACAAACUGGUGACUUAAAACAACAGAAAUGUGUCUCAUAAUCCCAGACCCUAGAAGUCUGAAAUCAAGGUGUUGGCAGGGCCAUGACCCCUCCCAGUCCUCCAGGGGAGCCUCCUUCCUUGUCCCUUGUUGCCCUAGGCACUCCUUGGCUUGUGGCAGCCUGACUCCAGUCUCUGCUUCCAUCAUCACAUGGUCCUCUUCCCUCUGUGUCUGUGUGUCUGUGUGUCUUCAUGACACUUUCCUCCCUGGGUCUUUGUUUUCUCUCUCUCUCUCUCUCUCUUUUUUUUUUUUUUUUUUUUUUUUUUUUGCUUUUUAGGGUCACACGUCUGUCAUAUGGAAGUUCCCAGGCAUCAGAGCUACAGCUGCUGGCCCAUCCCACAGCCACAGCAAUGCAGGAUUCGAGCCAUGUCUGUGACCUACACUCCAGCUCACAGCAGUGCUGGAUCCUUAACACACUGAGAGAGUGGAUCCUAGUGGAAACCCCCAUCCUCAUGGAUACUAGUCGAGUUCAUUACUGUUGAGCCACAACAGAAACUCCUGUUUUCUUUUCUUAUAAGGACACCAGUCAUACUGGAUCAAGACUCACUCAAUUGAAUGUGACCUCAUUUUAACUUAUUACAUCUGCCAAGAUGCUGUUUCCAAAUAGGUUCACAUUCACAAGUAUUGGAAGCUAAGAUUUCAAUGCAUCUUUUUCUGGGGGGAACACAGUUCAAGCCAUAGCAUGAACUGCGGGAGCUGAUGGAAAUACACAUAUGAAUGGGCAAGGGAGGGCUUAGUGUAGGAGUGUGUCUGUUUUUGUGCAAGUGUGCAGUUCUCCUAAAGAACUGUAACCAAGUAACCAAUUGGUUCAGUCUCUCUUCUGAUUCCUGGUUCUUGCUUUCGGUGGUUCCUUGGAGAGUUUUAUGCUGUCCCAUGACUCCAUUCACAAUGAGUAAUGGAUCGUUUCCGGGCUCUCACUCCCACUUUUAAUGAAUACCAACACUAAUUAACUGACAGUAACAUGUAGCUGCUCUUGGCUGCAGGAAUCUCUCACUGAGGUCAUAACGGUUGUUAGUAAUGUAAUUUAUUACUUUGUUAAGCACACUCUGGGACUCUCAGCGUGAAGACCAUUUUUGCAAGUGCCAAGGCAGCUUAGGCAGGCCUUUCUUGGUAAGGUAAUAUGUUCCAUGGCUCCUGGGCCUUGGCAUCGUGACGCAUCAAAGGCACAAUAGUUCCGCUGGAAUGCUGUAAAGAUUUCCAACCACAGUCCCAUCUGCUGGGAGGGACAGAGGACUACUGUUUGAACGAGGACGACUGCUUAUAUCCUGAAAUCGGAGGCAGCAACUGAACCCCCUAAAUUAUCAGAACACAGUGUAUUAUUAGUGUUAUUAAUAUUAUUUGCCUUAGAAUUGUUCUGGGAGUGACCAAACUGCACGUCGGGGAGAAACAACAGCACGCGAGCGAUAUCAAGGAUUUCUGACUAGGAGAAUGGCAGGCACCCCAGCCCUUGUGUGCCCUGCAGUGAGGUCACUCAGGCGCCUGCCUGAGGACCCAACCCUGGACUCUCCAUGAACUCUACCAAAUUAGCUUUACACGAGGAAGCCGUCCUGCUUCUCCAGAGGAUCAAAGCAGCUGGACCUGGUCCCAGUGUUCUGUAGAUAACCAGGUCACAGGCUACGUUUGCACCCUGUCUGCUCGUAGCACACCAUGGCGUGGAUUCCUCUGUAUUUUCCAGUUUAUAUCCAGGGAAGGAGCUGGGUUCACAUGCUCCCUGCUAUUAUCUGCACUAAUCUGGUGACCUGAGAUCAUUUCUGCACCCUCCACUCCUGUUACAAUGCUUCUGGAACCGUGUGACAUUUUUUUCCUCAUGUAUGGGGCUACUGUUCCCAACCAAGUCCUUUUAUCCUUCCUAUAAUAACCUUUGUAACAGUAACAGCACCUCCUUGUAACACUUAAAAUGCUUGUCUCACAAGGGCAGCAUGACAAGGGAAAAUAUGUAAAUAUGAUUUUUAAAAUGACAUCUGAACAGUGAAAAAUCACAAGACUAUCUAGCUAACGUGAUAAAAAAAACAAUGGCUGUGAAAAGAGGUAUUAACAAAAUGAAUAAAGAAGGGAAGAGAAAAAUAUAAGUUAGAAUAAAUUUUAGCUGUUUAGUGAUGGGUGUUAUGGGUUGAUAUUCCAAGCUUAGAUUCAUUCUCCCUUUUCUGAUGUUCAAUUCACGUUUACUAAGACCACUCUCUACAUCCAUCCAUACAGACAAAUACAUAGUAAAUCUGAACGUAAAGUUUUGAGACUGACUUUAAAAAAAUGUCAGAGCUUAAAUAUCCAAAUUAUUAUUUUCCUUAACCCCGGCAACAUAGUGUUAUUCCAAUUCAACUGUAUUUACCUAAAAGUCCAUGAAACUGUUCUUUUAGAAACACCUUUGAAUUUAGCUUGUGAAAACUAAAAGCAGAAAGCGCACUUAUUACUUUGUAUUCACAUCUUAAAUAUGUCCUCAAACUGUCUAAUUAUCUUGAAAACUGGAGUUCCCAUUGUGGCGCAGUGGUUAAUGAAUCCAAGAACCACGAGGUUGUGGGUUCGAUCCCUGGCCUUGCUCAGUGGGUUAAGGAUCCGGCAUUGCUGUGAGCUGUGGUGUAGGUCGCAGAUGCCAGCUCGGAUCCUGCGUUGCUAUGGCUGUGACAUAUAGGCCGGUGGCCACAGCUCCGAUUAGACCCCUAGCCUGGGAACCUCCAUAUGCCGCGGAAGCGGCCCUAGAAAAGGCAAAAAAAAAAAAAAAAUUAUCUUGAAAACUUAUUAUAUUCAGAGAGUUAGUUCCAAAUAUCUUGUCUUUAAGCCAGCCUCUUUAAACAAACAUUUUCCAUCAUAUUUUUAACCUUAUUAGAUAUUUUCAAUAACAAAUGUAGUAUACAUUUACUAUAACAAGUCAAAGAUACUUAUAAGGAAAAAAAUAAUGAACUCUAUCCUCUUCAUGAAUGAAUAAAAUAUGGUAUAUCCACACUAAAGAACAAGAAACAGCUAUAUGUACUAACCUUAAGAGAUUCCUAAAUAAAAAAUAAGGAUAAGGAUACAGUAUAUAGUAUGGCUUUUUUAUUUUAAAUUUUAUCUAUGAAUGUAUAGAUUUGUUGCAAAGAA